GCAUUCUCUUUGUGUGUGGAUUGGAGGACUGAGAACAACUGCCUGGCAGGGUUAGAAACCUGGCCCACCAGACUUGUCAGAACAAGGGAAACCCCUUUCCGCACAAAAGUGCCACCCUUGGCCCUCCUCCAGCGAGGCAUGUUGUGGAAUAUUAUUCUAAGGAAUGACAGGCAUACCAGGCCAGAAGGAAGAGCAGGUGCCCGGUGUCCCCAAGAGGUAGAGUAGUAGGAAGGCAGGAUCCGUGAUCUUG